rnacentral:rRNA from 1 species
CCUACGGGAGGCAGCAGUGGGGAAUUUUGGACAAUGGGCGAAAGCCUGAUCCAGCAAUGCCGCGUGCAGGAUGAAGGCCCUCGGGUUGUAAACUGCUUUUGUACGGAACGAAAAGCCUGGGGCUAAUAUCCCCGGGUCAUGACGGUACCGUAAGAAUAAGCACCGGCUAACUACGUGCCAGCAGCCGCGGUAAUACGUAGGGUGCAAGCGUUAAUCGGAAUUACUGGGCGUAAAGCGUGCGCAGGCGGUUUUGUAAGACAGUGGUGAAAUCCCCGGGCUCAACCUGGGAACUGCCAUUGUGACUGCAAGGCUAGAGUGCGGCAGAGGGGGAUGGAAUUCCGCGUGUAGCAGUGAAAUGCGUAGAUAUGCGGAGGAACACCGAUGGCGAAGGCAAUCCCCUGGGCCUGCACUGACGCUCAUGCACGAAAGCGUGGGGAGCA